ACCAAGAGUGAUCAACUGACCCGGGCAGCCAGAAGAGAUGAUAGGGAUACAUAUUCUUAACGGUGAUGGAGUGGUUUCAUAGAACAAAAUAGGCUGUUCCUGCCCGAGGGAACAUGGACUUCAGUGGAAGAGACACUCAGAAGAGAGCUUCGAAACAAGUAAGAAUUUCAGAUUGUGCUCAGUUCUUUGAAGAAAAACACAUGGGAUAAGUGAGAGACGUGUGACUCUGGGGGCAGAGGCUGUGUGGUCAGGAGGGGGCCCGUCAGUCAAAAGGCCUUGGUUGCCAAGCCAUUGAAACUCCUUCUGCGUCAUGUUGGGCAGAUUACAAUGUAGAUGAUUCCAUAGCUGGGCUGCAGCACCGUCCCUGGAGAGCACAUGACAGGAAUGCAUGUUGGGCAGGAUGUGAAGCUGAGCCCUGGGCUGAAGCAGACAAACUUGACCCCACCUGCGGACAGGACACUUCUGAAGCCGCUGCCUCGGCUUCCACCAGAAGCUGCAUCUCUGUGCUGCUAGAGAUGGAGAGCCCCGUCCUGGCUGGUUCAGUCGGGGCUGUGUUCAGCAGCUAAAGCUGCAUGUACUGUGACCGUCUGAGCCAAAGGCAGGGAAAGAUGCUCUCUAAUCCAUCUGGAAGUGAUUUUGGUAUGUGGUAUGUAAAGUAUUUAAAAAAAACAUAUAGUUUGAGUAAAACUGUUGGUGGUAGGCUAAAAGCUCCUUAAAAACAGGAAGCAUGACUGAAUCACUCUGGUUUCCUCCACUUUCCCAGACAGAAGAGUCACCAACGCAGCCUCCUUGCUCAGGCUGCGCUGCCCCAACUACAGUCAGGGACCCCCCCGCCUUCCCUCUGCUGGGAGGCACCAGCCACCUGUGACUAGUGUCCUGACACCUCCCAUGUCCCCAGCAGACACCUGCCACAGUUGCGUUCGGGGAGAACCCGAGCAAUUAGCCAGCAGCGCCCCCUGGCGCCUCUUUCACCGCAAAUGUUCGGCUCUCAACUUGUUCAACCACCCUCCACCCGCUCCACGGGCAACUUUUCCGGGAAGGCGCCUCCAAAGACCUCUGUGAGUAGCGUAGGCUGCUCUGCUCUGACAACCUCUUCGGGGUAAAUUUCUUUUCCAUUUGAACAGCUUCUCCUUAGUUAAGGAGAAACCGUUAUUGCCCGGUUGCUUUUUCGUCUUUUGGAUGGAGAGAAGCAGAGGAAUUCUGGGCGGAGGCCAACGAUUAGCUGCAACAUCUACUGAUCACUUCCAUGAAGUCUUUGAGCCUUUGUAUAAAUAAAACACCAGCCGGGGGCUCCUUCUGCUCCCAUUGAUGCCCGAGUGCCAACUACAGGUUUGACUCUGAGACCCUCCUUAAAAAAUUAGGAAAAAAAUUUUUUAAAACGUUUUUAAAUUGGAUUUUUAUUGCCUAAGGAGGGAUCUGUAAAAUACGUAGAGUGGGAAGAAUGCAGAUAAAUAAGACCUGAAAGUUGUCCUCAAAUAUAUCAAAGCCAUACUGGAUAGUGGACCUGCUGGAGAAUAGAAAAAUAAA
rnacentral:lncRNA from 1 species